UGACGGCGGAGACACAAUUAAAGCCUCUUUAUCAAUAUUUAAUAGACCUGGUCACAAGGUUGGUAAAGCUAAAGAUCAUUGGUUAGAUGAACGAGACAAGGCCGCAGCUCAUUUGCAUAUUCUACUCAAUGAAAGCAAAGUUAGCCUUUUCUAUAUGUUUUGGAAAGAAACUUGUCCUGGAGAAAGCGAUGACCGAUUUCCCCCUUGGUUUGCAUCAUAUGUUCAAAAUCAAUGUAAUGAAAUUGUUGAUCCUGGUUUGCAAUCACUUUCUUGGGGUAAUUCAAACAAAGCAACAAGUUAUCCAAUU